CACUAAAACACCGGUUCCCGUAUGAUCAUCGAAGUUAAGCAACGUCGAGCCAGGUCAGUCUCUCGAUUGGUGACUGCUUUGUAAUACCAAGUGUUGUAAG